CUUAUAGCAUAUAUGCUCAUCAUGUAUGUUACAUUUGGAAGAAACGAAUCAUAUUUCUUAUUUGAUUCAUUAUAUUUACCAUGUUUCAUUCUAUUACUCUCAGCUUUAUAUAACAAGCUGUCAUAUAUUUGUAUUCAUAUUUAUAUGUAUGUAUGUAUAUAUGUGUGUGUGUGUGUGUACGCGUGCAUGUGGAUGUGUACUUUGUUCAAUCAACUGAGUGAGAAUCUUCUAAUUCAUUUAGAAUAGGUCUUAGUUUUUUAUCAUUUACAACUUAUAAUAUCUAGAAUUUGUUAGUUUUGAUAGCAAAAAUAAUGACUCAUGCAUUCUUGGUUCCUUAACAGACUUUUGUUUGUGAGGUUUUACUAGAAUUGCUUUAUACAAAGUUAAAUUGAAUGAGUUUUACAAAAAUGUCUGUUUGGUUGCUUUUCAUAAAACUUGUUUAACCGGUAGGUCAUACAACCUGAAAAAAUAUGCUCAAUGAAAAACAGCCUCCCUUUGUUUUCAUGAAGCCUGUUUCACAGAAAAUUAGGUUUUAUGAUUAUCUGUUUUAAGAAAUCUUACAGACAAGCCAACAGCCCCUAAGUGAUUUUGACCUUCUACCUAUGGAGUAUGGAGCCUUCCCUGCAAGCUAUCAUGCAGAGGAAGAAAGUCGAAAACUACUCACUUCUAUGAGAUUCAAACAUAAAUCUAUGUUUACAUGCAUCCUUGCAACACAGACUUAAUCCUGGCCAGAAUUCUCAAGUUGAGCCCUCUUCUUGUGCUGGAAAAGAUGAAUCAGACAUUAUAAUUGGCCUUUGCACAUCUACAACAGCAAUGAUACUGCAGCUAAUUUAUUACAGCAAAUAGAUGAUUCAAAAGUACUCAUGAAAUUAAGUGUGGGUUCCUAACCACUUCAGCGGAAGAGGUGGAACUAAAGAAGAGGUUGGCUUGGGUACAUUUUUUUUCAAAGGAAUCAGUAGACAGUAAGUGCCUAAAGAAGAGGUUGGGAACGGUAUGCUUGUAAAAUAGAGCAGACAAAAUUUGUUCUCCAGGGCAAAGAAAAUGCCGCAGUCUUUUCCUCAUAUAGAGGUUUUUUGAAUCCAUGCGCCCUACAAGUGCCACACUUCCCUUCUUUUAUGAAGCGCAAUGAUCAUGAGGGGCCAGAACUUAACCCUCCACUGGCUAAUUAAAUUUGUAAUUGAUAAUUACUUAUUUUAAAAGAUUAUAGCUUGUGCAUACUCAGUUGCUUUAUGUAAAUUCCAUCUAUCCAUUUUACAAUCCUUUUUGGUUUAAAGAUCAUGUUACCCACCUUUUUUAUCUGAUUUUUUUUCUAGUUCGAUAUCCAAAUUAAUUGGUAUUGCAUCUACUCCCUUCCAAAUUGCUCUAUGCUAGAACCAUUGCUCUGGUAAAGUUCUCAUUCAAGAACUUUUAAAACACUCUUUCCAUCUCUAGCUUUUGCAAUACAUCCAGAGCACCUUUAUUUGAAUGAAAAGUUUGAAAGCGCUCUUUAUAUGUGGUACUACAAGUCUACACCUUCUUGCAAGUGCAAUCUUGUUGUCAUGUUUUCCUUG